rnacentral:rRNA from 1 species
AGCAGCCGCGGUAAUUCCAGCUCCAAUAGCGCAUAUUAAAGUUGUUGCAGUUAAAAAGCUCGUAGUUGAAUUUCGGGAUCAAUUUGCUGGUCGUGCCUCCGGUACGUACUGGUAUUAUUGGUUUCUCCCUUCUGACUAACCAUGAUGUCAUUUACUUGGUGUUGUGGGGAAUCAGGACUGUUACUUUGAAAAAAUUAGAGUGUUUAAAGCAAGCUAACGCUUGAAUACAUUAGCAUGGAAUAAUGAAAUAGGACGUUCGAUCCUAUUUUGUUGGUUUCUAGGAUUGACGUAAUGAUUAAUAGGGAUAGUUGGGGGCAUUAGUAUUCAAUUGUCAGAGGUGAAAUUCUUGGAUUUAUUGAAGACUAACUACUGCGAAAGCAUUUGCCAAGGAUGUUUUCAUUAAUCAAAGAACGAAAGUUAGGGGAUCGAAGACGAUCAGAUACCGUCGUAGUCUUAACCAUAAACUAUGCCGACUAGGGAUCGGAUGAUGUUAAUUUUUUAAUGACUCAUUCGGCGCCUU